rnacentral:misc_RNA from 1 species
GUAACAAGGUCUCCGUAGGUGAACCUGCGGAGGGAUCAUUAAGAUGCGUACAGCCUCUGCGCGUGGCGGCCCUCGGGCCACCCGCGCACGCCCUGCAUCCUCGAUAUUACAGCACCUUGCGUUCUCCUUCGGCGGGUCAGCCCGCCGAUGGAAUCGAAACCUACCCUACGUGUAAGUGGCAUAUAAGAUGUGCAUGGAUAGCGGCCUCUGCAUGUGGUCCCCAACACGGUUGUUGGCGGCACAAGACAAGCCGGAUUUCCUGGGUCGUUGGGACGUAUACGGUACGGUUCCUGCAGCGCGAGGACACCAUAUGUACCUAUUUCCCCCUCAACCCCCAUCUUUGUGCUCCUAGCAAUACCCGUUCCGAAACAAACAAUCGUUACAACUUUCAACAAUGGAUCUCUUGGCUCUGGCAUCGAUGAAGAACGCAGCGAAAUGCGAUAAGUAGUGUGAAUUGCAGAAUUCAGUGAAUCAUCGAAUCUUUGAACGCACAUUGCGCCCCUCGGUAUUCCGUGGGGCAUGCCUGUUCGAGCGUCAUCUACACCCUCAAGCCCUGCUUGGUGUUGGGUGCCUGUCCCGCCCCGCGCGGCGACUCACCCCAAAUGCAUUGGCGGCGGCCCUUGCCCCUCCCGCGCAGCACAUUGCGCUUCUCGAGGCGGCGGGACCGCGUCCACGAAGCCGACACCCGUCUUUGACCUCGGAUCAGGUAGGGAUACCCGCUGAACUUAAGCAUAUCAAUAA